AGAGUUUGAUCCUGGCUCAGGAUGAACGCUGGCGGCGUGCCUAAUACAUGCAAGUCGAGCGAACCACUUCGGUGGGAAGCGGCGAACGGGUGAGUAACACGUAGGUGAUCUGCCCAUCAGACGGGGACAACGAUUGGAAACGAUCGCUAAUACCGGAUAGGACGAAAGUUUAAAGAUGCUCCUGGCAUCACUGAUGGAUGAGCCUGCGGCGCAUUAGCUAGUUGGUGGGGUAAAGGCCUACCAAGGCGACGAUGCGUAGCCGACCUGAGAGGGUGAACGGCCACACUGGGACUGAGACACGGCCCAGACUCCUACGGGAGGCAGCAGUAGGGAAUCUUCGGCAAUGGGCGAAAGCCUGACCGAGCAACGCCGCGUGAAUGAAGAAGGCCUUCGGGUUGUAAAAUUCUGUUAUAAGGGAAGAAAGGUGAUAGGAGGAAAUGACUAUCAGUUGACGGUACCUUAUGAGAAAGCCACGGCUAACUACGUG
rnacentral:rRNA from 1 species